GGGCGGCUAGCUCAGCUGGUUAGAGCACCUCGUUUACACCGAGGGGGUCGGGGGUUCGAAUCCCUCGCCGCCCACCA
rnacentral:tRNA from 5 species